rnacentral:lncRNA from 1 species
CGCUAGUAGUUGAAAUUUGGCAAUUAAGAUGGCACAAUACGGGGCUGAAUAUGGCAACCAAAAGAGCCAGUACGAUGAGUACGGAAACCCAGUUCGUCAGACAGACGAAUAUGGUAACCCAGCCCGCCAUGGAGGUACCAUGGGUGAUUAUGGAACCACUGGCACUACUGGAGCCUAUGGUGGCACAGCUGGAGCACAUGGGACUUAUGCAACUGGAACCACCGGCACUACCGGUACCGGUGCGUAUGCCACCCAGCCUGGCACUGAUGUGGGGAAGGAGCACCAUGGCCUUGGUGGCAUGCUUCAUCGCUCUGGUAGCGGUAGCUCUAGCUCGGUAUGCCCUCCUAAUUAAUCUCGUCUUGCUUAAAUUGUACUGAGUUGUAGUAGCAUUUAACAAAUCUUGACCAGCUUGUGAUGACUGGUAAUUAAAAAGUUCUUAUCUGUUUUCUUUUUGUUUUUUCGGUUGGGAUGCAGUCCGAGGAUGAUGGGCAAGGCGGGAGGAGGAAGAAGGGGAUGAAGGAGAAGAUAAAGGAGAAACUGCCUGGCGGUCACAAGGAGGCUCGACCUGGACAAGAAUAUUCGAGUGCUACUACAGCUCCUGGAUACGGCGGGGAAGGAGAGCAGCACGAGAAGAAAGGAAUUAUGGAUAAAAUCAAGGAGAAAUUAC